CCUAGGUCCAUGCUGCGCAGGCGUAGUAGGACAGAAGAUGCCCAGGUAUUGUUUGUUUGGUGAUACAGUGAACACAGCGUCUAGAAUGGAGUCUACAGGGGAACCUCUCAAGAUUCAUGUGAGUCCAAACACUAAAGCAGUUCUUGAUCACUUUGGAAACUUCAUGUUGGUACCUCGAGGUGAAGUUGAAGUUAAAGGAAAAGGUAAAAUGGAAACUUUCUGGUUGCUCGAAGAGAUCCAAACGGAUGAUUCCAUCAAUAAUAGUAAAGCACAGCAUAGACUCUUAUAAGUAUUUAGGAACGAGGUGUGGGUUUUGGUUUUGUUAUAGAUACCACAUGGUUGGAUAACACCGAAGAAGUUAACGUGGAUGACGUCGUGGAAUAUUCGUGCACUAUAGUUUGUAAACGUCUACGUUUCGACUUCAUGUUAUUGGAGAAAACGCAAGAGGUCGAAUAUGGAUUUAUUUCUGUAGUAGUUUAGUGAAACCCGUUGUGUAGCGUGAUGUAAAUAUUCAUAUAUACAUUAAGAAGGAACUCAAACAUCUUAACUAAGCUUCAAUACUUUAUAUAUAUAUGUCUUUGUUUUGUAUGUAGGCUUCACAGUUAUUUAAUUAUAUCGCCUUUUUGUAGCAUGUUGAAGAUAUGUAUUUAUAUUUACGGUUUUCUAUAUAAUGUAAUUAUCAACACAUCUGAGUGUCAGAUCAUAUAAACUGAAAAUCGCACAUGUUUUAUUUUUCAUUUAGAGGUCGAUAAAAGUAUUGAAUCUGGUUUAUUGGUUAAGUUGUUUGUUCUUUUUUUUAGGAAACUAAUUUGAGGGGAUUUAAAAGCAUAAUAAUUAAUUUAGUUACUACUAAGCCUACUGGACUAAAGAACAAAGCAUUGUUGUAUUAAAGUAACAGUGGAAGAAUACAAGUACUUGCAGGAAUUCUGUAUUGAAACAAAUCAUACUGUUGCGUCAGCGAGGUCACGUGACUAGUAACUGGAGGUGUAACAAUACGUUAAACAGUAACAAAGACAAGUAAUAUAUACUUUAUGUAAGCUUAAAAAGUACCAGGUAAGUUGUUAAUAAUGUCAUUUCCAAUUACGUCGUAUUAAUCAAACUCCACAUAAUGAUCCUAAGGAGUAUUCUGUAGCUAAUAUCUGUUUGACAAAACGCCGUAUUUAGUUUUUCUUAAAGACUAAGUGGUACUUUACCCCAUCGUAUACACUGAAUAAAUCGAAACGAGAUGUAGAAAGUUAGGCACUUUUGUAAUAAUGAUUUUAUAUCUUACGUUACCAUGUAAAAAAUACAGAAAUUUAACGAAGAAUCUAUUUUAAAUCAUAAAAUGUAUCUUCAAUUGUCUGAUUAGAAUUAUGGUUAAUUAAUAAAGAAAUACCUAUUAUAUGAAUUAGGGUUAAGUAGUAAAGAAAUACCUAUAUUAUGAAUUAGGGUUCAGUAGCAAUGAAAUACCUAUAUUAUGAAUUAGGGUUAAGUAGUAAAGAAAUACCUAUAUUAUGAAUUAGAGUUAAGUAGUAAAGAAAUACCUACAUUAUGAAUUAAGAUUAAGUAGUAAAGAAAUGCCUAUAUUAUGAAUUAGGUUUAAGUAGUAAAGAAAUACCUAUAUUAUGAAUUAGUGUUAAGUAGCAAAGAAAUACCUAUAUUAUGAAUUAGGGUUAAGUAGUAAAGAAAUACCUAUAUUAUGAAUUAGUGUUAAGUAGCAAAGAAAUACCUAUAUUAUGAAUUAGGGUUAAGUAGUAAAGAAAUACCUAUAUUAUGAAUUAGGGUUAAGUAGUAAAGAAAUACCUAUAUUAUGAAUUAGUGUUAAGUAGCAAAGAAAUAGCUAUAUUAUGAAUUAGGGUUAAGUAGUAAAGAAAUACCUAUAUUAUGAAUUAGUGUUAAGUAGCAAAGAAAUACCUAUAUUAUGAAUUAGGGUUAAGUAGUAAAGAAAUACCUACAUUAUGAAUUAAGGUUAAGUAGCAAAGAAAUACCUACAUUAUGAAUUAGUGUUAAGUAGUGAAGAAAUACCUAUAUUAUCCUAUAAGGAAAUCUUGUAUAAAACUUAACAGAAGUGUAAGUUUUGGGGUUUUAAUCACAUAUAGCUGGAUGAAAACUUCAAAAUGGUUUAGCAUAAAGUGUUUUAGAUUUACAUUAAUGCUGUAUAUAUACAUAUAACUUAAUGCUUCAUGUUAAGUAC